rnacentral:lncRNA from 1 species
AAAGUUUGGCGUCUAGUAUUUGUUUUAUUUAUUUAUUGUUUUAUAAUUUUUUUUUCUCUUUUUCAAGUAAAUGCUGUUCUUCUGAACUUUCCAUUCAUUAAAUAUUCCUGAAAAAAAAAAUCACAUUUCCACAGAAAUAUUAAGCAGCACAACUGAUUUCAACAUUGGUAAUAUUAAGAAAUGUUUCCUGAGAAUCAAAUCAGCAUAUUAGUAUGAUUUCUGAAGGAUAAUGAUGACCCAGUUUUUUUCCCACUACAAUCAGACUUUAACCCUGAGUUUAACCGUCUGUGUCUUUGCAUGAGACUGCUCUUUCAUCAUCGUUUGGUUGAGUCUGUUUCAUCAACACUGGCCUGAAUACAUAAUAAGAUUAUUAUGAUUUUUUUUUGAGCUUUUGCCAAUUUUUUUCUGAUUUGAAUUGGUUCAUCUAAUAUUUAUAGUUUAUUUGAUUUAAACUUAGUUAGAAAAGUCACUAGUUAUUUUUUUUACUAAUCGUUUUAAUCAUUUAGGGCAUAUAUUUAAUGUGCAGAAGCACUGCGUGAUCACGUGAGCUUUAUCUAUAUAUACCUAUAGAAGGGAUGGUACUCAGUGGAUGCCUGAGUACAACUUGUAGGUGAAAAGAAGAACCAUUUCUUCAAGUGGUGUUGAUAUUAAUGACACUUUGACUUUUUGCCCUCAGAGCAUGAGUCAGUUGGCUGACACUUUGACUUUUUGUCCCUCCACGAGCAUGAGUCAGUUGGCUGGUGACGGCUCCCUCCCGCCACGCUGCCUCUGCCCUGCCUGCACAGCUCACAGACACGCGUGUUCUUCGGCCAUGAACGCAGACUCGCAGAAGGUGAGAAACAAGCCGCAACCCAUGUCUCUUUGGAGCAAGAGUUUGACCGGGAUCUUUCCCAGCUGUGGAGGGAGUUGGAGGAGCAGGUCGUCUCAGUAGCGAAUAGAGGGACGGUGCCCAUCACCUUCCAGCCCUCCCAAUGCUGCCUGAACAGUCAGACAGACAACCUCAGACACCCCCUCGCCAUAGUGGAGGGUACGUUUUCCCUCGUACAUCAACUACCUUUCUUCCAGUUUUUGAUUUGAAGACAUUUAUAUUGCCUUGACUGCUGCAUUGAAACAAACUCUUGGAUUCUGUGGACGUUUAGGGUCUUCGUUAAUGCGUUUGAUGUCUUAUGGGGCUGCAUUUCUGGUUUAUUAGUGUAUUUUUAAUUGGACUGAGUUGAAUUAUUCACCAUUUGCUUUCCUCUUUAUUUCAUGAAAUCUACGAGACCUAAUGAAGCAUAGCAGCCUUACCUGUAUUCGAGCUGGUUGAAUUAUCCUGCAGCCUCAUUCAAUGCUAUAUCUAGUGGUGCAAGACUAGUAUUGAUCAUAGAAAUGAAUUAGUUAUCAUAAUGGCCGGGUAUUCACCUGUCAACACCCCACGGCGAGAGGGGAAGAGUAAAGAGGAAGAGGAAGAACCUGCAAACACCCUUUAGUGAUGCUGCCAUCUUCCUACUUCUUUGUAUUCCUCAUUAGCAAAUAUUUCAGCAGCAUAGCACAUCAAAUAAAACAUAAAUAUUUCUAACAAAAUGAUUCAAGAGUUUUUUGUGUGGAAUCAAGUACCUCUCUAAUGAUGUAUAGUUAUAGGCUGCCUGCAUGUUAACAGGUAUC